AUACGAAAGGUGCAAGCGUUGUUCGGAUUUACUGGGCGUAAAGAGAUCGUAGGUGGUUUGUUAAGUUGGAUGUGAAAUCCCGGGGCUCAACCUCGGAACUGCAUCCAAAACUGGCAGACUUGAGUUCGGGAGGGGUAAGCGGAAUUCCGUGUGUAGCAGUGAAAUGCGUAGAUAUACGGAGGAACACCUGAGGCGAAGGCGGCUUACUGGACCGAUACUGACACUGAGGAUCGAAAGCGUGGGUAGCAAACAGGAUUAGAUACCCUAGUAGUCC
rnacentral:rRNA from 1 species